CAUGCAAGGUAGUUGUGGGUAGCACCAGUAUCCACCAUAGCCCUGAUUGGCUUCCCAUUGAUUUUUACAUCAAUGAACAUUAAGCCUUUGGCCCUACAAAUACGAGCCUUCGCUUCUUCCAUCUUUGCCUCUUUCAAUGGGACAUCAUCCUUUUCGACAACCCGAUGCGAUAGUGUGUUGCACCGAUGUGAAAAUGCCCCAACUACUUCCUCAUCCUCUUCAGAGUCAGUCUCAUUAUUACAAUUAGCUUGCGGGACCUCUUGUUUCGAACUUGGCCCGCCACUUGCUAAUUGACAAUAUGCAUUCACCAUCCGCUUCUGAGGACACUCCGACACCCGAUGAGGUCCUUCACAUAAAAAGCACUUCAAUUUGAGAGUGGCAUCAGUUCGGCCCUCCGUUGCUUUCCCUUUGUUCCAGUUGUUACUAUUACUGCCGUUAAAAUUUCCCUGACGGCUGUUAUGAUAAUUUCCCUGAAAGCCACGGGUGCUUUGAUAGGCUCCUUCUCUAUUUUGAGAGUAGCGCUCUCCCCCAUUUGGGUUCGAGCUGGGUCUGUAAGAUCUGUUACCACCUCCAAUUGCUUGAUUACUCCCCGAAGGUCGAUCUUUUCUAGAUUCUGUUUGGUAGUCGCUCAAGCAUUCAGCGGCUCCCAUGGCCGUGCUUAAAUCAGUAACCUUCUGUCUUUGAAGUUCCGUGCGUGUCCACGGUUUCAACCCUUCCAUAAAGGUGAAGAGCUUGUCCUUUUCUGACAUAUCUCGAAUAUUCAGCAUGUGCCCUGAGAAGGAUUUCACAUACUCCCUGAUAGAGCUCGUGUGUUUCAGGUCUCGAAGAGCCCGUCGAGCCUGAUACUCGACAUUUUCCGGGAAAAACUGCGAUCUGAUCGCUUCCUUGAGGAGAUCCCAAGAAUCAAUUCGAAUCCUGUGGGCCUGAAUGUCCGCAUAUUUGGUUCGCCACCAUAAUUUUGCAUCUCCACCCAAAUACAUGGUGGCUGUGGUUACCUUUCUAGCUUCAUCUUCGAUCGAAGCUGCUAGAAAGUACUGUUCCAUAUCAAACAAGAAGUUUUCGACUUCUUUUGCAUCACGUGCCCCUCCAUAGGUACACGGUUCAGGAAUUCUGAGUCUAGGAGCAUACUCG
rnacentral:lncRNA from 1 species